CCCUCCCCCGCCGCCGCCACAGACGAUUCUGACGGCCCGCCUUCGCGCGCGACGCCGCCGGCGCCCCUCCCCGCCAACUCCCCUCCUCCCCUCAUCCAAAUCGACUCCGCCGGCACGAAAGCGCCCCUCCUCCUCGACCGCGUUCCGACACUGCCGGUGCCCCCUCGCUCCGACCGCGUUGCGCCGCCGUCGAAUCCCGUCUCCAUUUUGUACAUCAUAGAUCCCAUCAAAUAUUGGAUCAAUUGUGACUUGCGAGCACAUGUGUGCAGCGUGAGCAGUUGGGCUGCAACUUGCCAGGGCAAGAUCAUUUGUCAAGGUUGGAAUUGCUGCGGGAUCAUCCGAGGCCUCGACACGACAUACCCUCGUCUCAUUGCUCAGUUUACAGAGUCAAGUUCCAAGAAGUGUAUCAAUGACCCUAUAUACCUGCUUGUUGGAGUAUAUUAA
rnacentral:lncRNA from 1 species